UUAGUUGGGCAUGGUAGCAUGCACCUGUAAUCCCAGCUACUCAGGAGGCUGAGGCAGAAGAAUUGCCUGCACCCAGGAGGUGGAGGUUGCGGUUAGCCAAGA